CACAGUGCAGACAGACACACUGCAGACAGACACACUGCAGAUAGACACACUGCAGACAGACACACUGCAGAUAGACACACUGCAGGUAGAGACACUGCAGACAG